rnacentral:rRNA from 1 species
CCUACGGGAGACAGCAGUGGGGAAUAUUGGACAAUGGGGGGAACCCUGAUCCAGCGACGCCGCGUGAGUGAAGAAGUAUUUCGGUAUGUAAAGCUCUAUCAGCAGGGAAGAAAGAAAUGACGGUACCUGACUAAGAAGCCCCGGCUAACUACGUGCCAGCAGCCGCGGUAAUACGUAGGGGGCAAGCGUUAUCCGGAUUUACUGGGUGUAAAGGGAGCGUAGACGGCGAUGCAAGUCUGAAGUGAAAGGCGGGGGCACAACCCCCGGACUGCUUUGGAAACUGUAUGGCUGGAGUGCAGGAGAGGUAAGUGGAAUUCCUAGUGUAGCGGUGAAAUGCGUAGAUAUUAGGAGGAACACCAGUGGCGAAGGCGACUUACUGGACUGUAACUGACGUUGAGGCUCGAAAGCGUGGGGAGCAAACAGGAUUAGAUACCCGAGUAGUC